rnacentral:rRNA from 1 species
CUUUCUUUGCUGGCGACCGGCGCACGGGUGAGUAACACGUAUCCAACCUGCCCUUUACUCGGGGAUAGCCUUUCGAAAGAAAGAUUAAUACCCGAUAGUAUAAUGAUUCCGCAUGGUUUCAUUAUUAAAGGAUUCCGGUAAAGGAUGGGGAUGCGUUCCAUUAGGUUGUUGGUGAGGUAACGGCUCACCAAGCCUUCGAUGGAUAGGGGUUCUGAGAGGAAGGUCCCCUACAUUGGAACUGAGACACGGUCCAA